GUAUAUUAAAAGUGAUGACAGCGCAGGUGUUCUCUUAAAGUCACGACUACAAUAUCACACAAAACGGAAAUCUUCAACAUUAUGGUGCGGGCAACACAAUCGAGAGAUAAGCUAUACUGACGCAGAUGUGAAAUCCUUUUUAGAGACAUUGGUAAACUCCUAAAAAGGAUUUUAAAGGACAAAUCGUAUGAUGUUUACAAAGAUAUAAAAGAGAGCGACGAAAUAAAAAAAAGGGAUGUUAUAAUUUGGUCAGUCAUACUUAAUAAACGAGAUUAUGCAAUUGUUUUAUUGAAAGAAGGAUUAACAGAGGAUGCCAACUAUACCAAAGGGACAUGUAUAUAUGCAUCUUUAUUUGCCAUUGCAAUGUUGAAGGUUUUAUCCAAACUAGCGGAUGCUGAAGAAAACAUGGAUCUUGGUGCAUCAUUUAUGGAGAACUCGAGGUUUUUUGAGGUUUUAGCCUGCAAUGUUGUAGCUCAAAUGUAUUUGAACGACAGAGCAACGACACAGAAAAUACUCACGCAACCAGUUAAAGAUUAUGGUUGUUCAAUGAAGACUGUAAUGAAAAUAUCGGCAAAUAAUGAUCUUAUGAAGUUUAUGGGUACAACAGCAUGCCAAACGAAACUUAAAAGUAUUUAUAGAGAACACAUGUCUAUACUAACGUCCAGAGAAAUGGUAUGAUGAUACAUUGUUUUACUCUUUUUUAUUGCGUGCAAAUAAACUUGAAAAAAAUAAACAUUUUUAAAAGUGAUAUUUAUAA